rnacentral:rRNA from 1 species
GGGAUCACGGAUCCAGAGUUUGAUUAUGGCCAGGAUGAACGCUGGCGGCGUGCCAACACAUGCAAGUCGAACGGAGUUUACAUGAAACCUAGUGAUUGUAAACUUAGUGGCGGACGGGUGAGUAACGCGUGGGUAACCUGCCCUGUACUGGGGGAUAACACUUAGAAAUAGGUGCUAAUACCGCAUAAGCGCACANNGCCGCAUGGCAAGUGUGAAAAACUCCGGUGGUACAGGAUGGACCCGCGUCUGAUUAGAUAGUUGGUGAGGUAACGGCCCACCAAGUCAACGAUCAGUAGCCGGCCUGAGAGGGUGAACGGCCACAUUGGGACUGAGACACGGCCCAAACUCCUACGGGAGGCAGCAGUGGGGAAUAUUGCAC